UAGCACACAAUUUAUACAUGCACUUCAAAGUAACAUAUAGGCCUCAUCGAAAACCUUAAACUUCAUUCGAUAAUCAUAACGACCAUAUAUAAAGAGGUUGUGCCACAAAAGAAGUACAUAUAUAUGUUUGCCACACAACAAAAAUAAAGUAGUGCCGCUAGAAAUGUACAUAUGUUUAUAAAUGUGUGCCACACAACCUAAAUGAGCUAAUUAACAACCACCAAAAUGAGCAGAGCAAGUCUCAAGUUCAACAAACAAGACACAGGUCAUUAUCACUCCACCAACUUAAUUUUAGGUCUUCCAAAUCUUUAGCAGCUUAAAGAUCUUCCAAACCUUAGUGAACUUGUGCACCUUUGGGAAACCUACAAUAGAUCAGAAGAUGUUACAUAUAACAGUUGCAGUCAGAACUCAACGAAGAUUUUACAACAAUCGCAUAUAACAGCCGCAUAUGUUCUAAAAUAUAGAGCAACCAGUAACAUAUCUUGAGUAAUCUCUUCGAGAACAUGUCCUGGACAUCAACAUGUCCAUUUUUUAUCAUCUUAAUAGUAGCAAGCUUAUCUUCUCAUCAAAAUGUAGUGUGCAAAGUCUGUACAAAUAUUAAUGGGAAGAUGUUACAACAAUCACAUACAACAUCCGCAUGCCGACAUACAACAGCCACAUAUGUUCUGAAACAUAGAGCAACUAGUAACAUAUCUAGAGUAAUCUCUACUUUAGUAGAGAACAUAUCCUGGACAUCAACAUGUCCAUUUUUUCUCAUCUUGACAGUAGCAAGCUUAUCUUACUUCUCAUCUAGAUAUACUGUGCAAAGUCCGUACAAAUAUUAACAGCAAGUAGGUGUGCCUAUCUUGUACAACAAAAGUGAGGCUAUUCAUGUACCAAAGUAAAGCGAACAGAAUUGAUGACCAUUUUGAUUGUUUUCUACAUUUUGAAGCACAAGCACAAGGUCACGAUCACACACUGAACAUUAAACAAGCAAAUUUUGAAGCUACUGUACUGAACAAGCACAUAUGCAAAAUUAUAGCAUCUUAUUUUCACUUGGUACUAUUUCUCUACCAGAACGCAUCAAGUGUUUAGUUGUGCUUCUCAAAAUUUCGUAUGUCGUAUACCUUGGCUUCUUCAAAGUAAUACAAUUAAACAUUAGUAUUGGAACCUGCAGAUUCAAUGUGCUAGUGCAGUCUCUAGUUGGCCCUGAUAUUGAGACUGACCUUGGAUAUAAGUUGAUUUAUUUUGAGUUCCUAUAUGAAGUUGGCACAACAUAAUAGGAUAAUGAAUCUGGAAAUCUAUAAAUGACGAUAUCAUUUUGUGGUUUUGCGUGGUACCGUGUUACUGAGAGCAAUGACGACAACUAUGCUUACAGACUUCCUGCAUCUAGAACACGAAGCUGAACUACAUUUCUCCUAUUGAAGAAUCCGAUGAAGUGGUGUAUUGGGAGUAUUGUGACUUUCACUGAAGCAUUGCACAAACAAGCCUUUUAAUUUCUGCUCCCUCUUUGCAGGAGCUAUUAAAGUUGAGUUACAUAAAUGAUUCGCUGGCUACACAAAAUAAGAGGGGAACUAGCUGGAGCAUAUAUUUCAGGAUCUUUUAAUGGGGAGCUGUUUAGUUUCCCGGUUCCAUGCUUUUGUUGGACAAGUUACAAACGAAGGUCCCCUAAAAUGGUACUCCCUCCAUCCCAAAAUAAGUGUAUCAACUUUGUACUAACUUUAGUAUAAAGUUGUACUAAAGUUAUGAGACGUGUUUUGGGACGGAGGGAGUAUCUGAAUAGUGGACAAGCCCACAGAUUUACAAAUCCAGUGAAACACUAUGAACAUUUGGUUCAAUAAAUAUUUUUUAUUGGUUCACUUUCCUAUACCUCGCACAACAAGUUGAAUUAGCCUAGAAAAAUAAACCAAGGCUUUUGACAAACAAACAAACAAGCUGAAAUACUUCAUGUACAUGAAAGAAAGAGGAUCCAAUUACGAGAAAUGAAUCAAAUGAAAGUUGUGAGCAUGGAAUCCAAUGAAAAUCAUUUCUCUACAUGGUAGAGUCUAUCGUGUACAUGAAAGAAACAUGAACCAAUUGAAGUUUAUAUUUGUAACCAUAUUUAUUCAACUGGCCUCUCUACAAAUUCAUGGCUGAUGGACACAAAAGCACACUUCUAAAGAACUAUAAUGAUCUGUUUGAAUUACUAAUUAAUAAUAUAUACUAGAAUCAGGAGCUCAAGUUUCCUGGACACAAGUUAACCAUGUAGCAACCAAAUGAGCAAAGAAUUACUAUUUGUCCUUGAUAGUACACACUAAUGUAAAUAUUCAGGCAAGAAAACAUGUAUAUUACCUCCUCAGCUUGCUUGUGGUCGCAACACAUUGCUGCAUUUGCCAUUAACUGACUUCCAACUGCAUACAUAGAAGCAAAAGAGUUUUAAGCAAUCAACCAUGAUAGUCAGUGUAUAUUUAAUCAUAGGA
rnacentral:lncRNA from 1 species